GCUUCAGUAGCUCAGUUGGUUAGAGCACCUGACUGUUAAUCAGGGGGUCGUUGGUUCAAGCCCAUCCUGAAGC
rnacentral:tRNA from 6 species